rnacentral:rRNA from 1 species
GACGAACGCUGGCGGCGUGCUUAACACAUGCAAGUCGAACGGAAAGGCCUCUUUCGGGGGGUACUCGCGUGGCGAACGGGUGAGUAACACGUGAGUAACUUGCCCUUGUCUUUGGGAUAACUUCAGGCAACUGGCGCGAAUACAGGAUAGGUGCUCCUGCUGCCUGGAGGGGGUUGGAAAGUUUCGGGGGUUGGGGGUGGACUCGCGGCGUAUCCGCUUGUUGGUGGGGUAGUGGCUUACCAAGGCUUUGACGGGUAGCCGGCCUGUGGGGGUGACCGGCGAUACUGGGACUUACGUACGGCCCCGGCUCCGACGGGAGGCAGCAGUGGGGAAUAUUGCCCAAUGGGUGCAAGCCUGAUGCUGCAACGCCGCGUGCGGUAUGACGCCCUUCGUGUUGUAAACCGCUUUCGCACAUGACGAAGCUUUGUGUGACGGUAGUGGGUAAAGAAGCACCGGCUAACUACGUG